UACGGUAGGGGGCUAGCGUUGUCCGGAUUUAUUGGGCGUAAAGAGCGUGUAGGCGGCCAGGUAGGUCUGGUGUGAAAACUCGACGGCUUAACCUCGAGAUGUCAUCGGAAACCAUCUGGCUAGAGUCCGGAAGAGGAGAGUGGAAUUCCUGGUGGUAGCGGUGAAAUGACGCAGAUAUCAGGAAGAACACCAAUGGCGAAGGCAGGUCACUGGGCCGCAACUGACGCUGAGGAGCGAAAGCAUGGGGAGCGAACAGG
rnacentral:rRNA from 1 species